rnacentral:rRNA from 1 species
CGGGACACGUGGUAUCCUGUCUGAAUAUGGGGGGACCAUCCUCCAAGGCUAAAUACUCCUGACUGACCGAUAGUGAACCAGUACCGUGAGGGAAAGGCGAAAAGAACCCCGGCGAGGGGAGUGAAAAAGAACCUGAAACCGUGUACGUACAAGCAGUGGGAGCCUCUUAAUGGGGUGACUGCGUACCUUUUGUAUAAUGGGUCAGCGACUUAUAUUCUGUAGCAAGGUUAACCGAAUAGGGGAGCCGAAGGGAAACCGAGUCUUAACUGGGCGUUAAGUUGCAGGGUAUAGACCCGAAACCCGGUGAUCUAGCCAUGGGCAGGUUGAAGGUUGGGUAACACUAACUGGAGGACCGAACCGACUAAUGUUGAAAAAUUAGCGGAUGACUUGUGGCUGGGGGUGAAAGGCCAAUCAAACCGGGAGAUAGCUGGUUCUCCCCGAAAGCUAUUUAGGUAGCGCCUCGUGAAUUCAUCUCCGGGGGUAGAGCACUGUUUCGGCAAGGGGGUCAUCCCGACUUACCAACCCGAUGCAAACUGCGAAUACCGGAGAAUGUUAUCACGGGAGACACACGGCGGGUGCUAACGUCCGUCGUGAAGAGGGAAACAACCCAGACCGCCAGCUAAGGUCCCAAAGUCAUGGUUAAGUGGGAAACGAUGUGGGAAGGCCCAGACAGCCAGGAUGUUGGCUUAGAAGCAGCCAUCAUUUAAAGAAAGCGUAAUAGCUCACUGGUCGAGUCGGCCUGCGCGGAAGAUGUAACGGGGCUAAACCAUGCACCGAAGCUGCGGCAGCGACGUUUAUGCGUUGUUGGGUAGGGGAGCGUUCUGUAAGCCUGUGAAGGUGUGCUGUGAGGCAUGCUGGAGGUAUCAGAAGUGCGAAUGCUGACAUAAGUAACGAUAAAGCGGGUG